rnacentral:tRNA from 1 species
UGCCCGGUGGUGUAAUGGUAACACAGCAGAAUUUGGAUCUGCUUUUCCAGGUUCGAAUCCUGGCUGGGCAG